rnacentral:rRNA from 1 species
GAUGAACGCUAGCGGGAGGCCUAACACAUGCAAGCCGAGCGGUAUUGUUUCUUCGGAAAUGAGAGAGCGGCGUACGGGUGCGGAACACGUGUGCAACCUGCCUUUAUCUGGGGGAUAGCCUUUCGAAAGGAAGAUUAAUACUCCAUAAUAUAUUGAUUGGCAUCAAUUAAUAUUGAAAGCUCCGGCGGAUAGAGAUGGGCACGCGCAAGAUUAGCUAGUUGGUGAGGUAACGGCUCACCAAGGCGAUGAUCUUUAGGGGGCCUGAGAGGGUGAUCCCCCACACUGGUACUGAGACACGGACCAGACUCCUACGGGAGGCAGCAGUGGGGAAUUUUGGACAAUGGGGGAAACCCUGAUCCAGCAAUGCCGCGUGAGUGAAGAAGGCC